GAAUAGAUUUCAAAGGCAAAAACAAGAGGUGUAGCUCAUGCAGCCAGUGGAGCACUAUGAUUCCACACUGAUUUUGAGUCAAUUGAUCACAUGACCUGGAAGCUGCUGAGCUAAAAUGCUAACAUUUCCAUAUAAAGAUUAAUAAAAAUCUUUUAAGGAUUUAAAAUU